rnacentral:rRNA from 1 species
UGGCGAACGGGUGAGUAACACGUGAGUAACCUGCCCUUGACUUUGGGAUAACUUCAGGAAACUGGGGCUAAUACCGGAUAGGAGCUCCUGCUGCAUGGUGGGGUUGGAAAGUUUCGGCGGUUGGGGAUGGACUCGCGGCUUAUCAGCUUGUUGGUGGGGUAGUGGCUUACCAAGGCUUUGACGGGUAGCCGGCCUGAGAGGGUGACCGGCCACAUUGGGACUGAGAUACGGCUCAG